rnacentral:rRNA from 1 species
GCGUGGCAGACGGGAGAGUAACACAUUGGUAACCUACCCUGAAGAGGGGGAUAAUCUUUCGAAAGAAAGGAUAAUACCCCAUGUGCUGUUAAUUUUAAUAGUUAACAGUAAAACUUUUGUGCUUCAGGAGGGGCCUAUGUUCUAUCAGCUUGUUGGUGAGGUAAAGGCUCACCAAGGCUAUGACAGAUACCGGGUGUGAGAGCAUGAUCCGGCUCAAUGGGACUGAGACACUGCCCAUACUCC